AUCCCCCCACAUCCCCCACGGGUGCGACGCCCGUGUGUAGAUAGUGUGUGGAGCUGAGGUGGGCUGAAUGAAGCCACGGUGCUCAAACAUGCCACCUGUGACUGCAACCACCUGUCCGAAGUGACGCAAAUCAAACGCACCUGAGAUGUUGCGUGUUCAACAGGUUGCAUGCUGGGACCUCCAACAUUGAUUGUGACGUUUGCUCUUCAGGGUCUACUUUGAGUGAGGCGUGUGAAGGCCUCUGUGCUGACGUGACUGCGGCGCAAACAUGUUUGAAGUGGACUGGUUAUAAUGGGAAAGACAGUCUGGACUGGUUCUCAUGCUCCAUGAGCAUGGUCAGGCAAAGAAGCUGAAUGAAAGAGCGCAAUGUUGAAGACUUCGCGGUGCACGAGGCUCAGAGUGAUGCUCAGACAGGGUGAGAUCCUGUGGCCACAACGCCUUACUUCAGAGGAAAGGCAUCUCAAUAGAGCGCUGCUGUAGACGGGCCGGAGAGGCAGGCGUGUGUGAGGUGUGUGUGGGGGUGGGCAUCCACAGCAGACAGGCAAUUGGACAACGUCUCUCAGGGACUGUGAGGCGGCCAAACAAGAGUCUGCUGAGGAGGGAACUUGAAAGAAAAGGCAAAUUUGAAAUGAAAAGGAGCAGUUGUAAGAAGAUUUAACCACUGGCCUGCUGUUAAGGAGAACAGUUGCAUAAGAAAUACAAACAGUGCAGAUGGACAUCCAGUGAUGGGGGAUUCAGAAUGGUGCAGGGUAGGGAAUGGCAGGAGUCCAGUUGUACAGAUGUUGAGACGAGACAAGGCUGGACGUGGCAGGUGAGUGGCGGGGGGGUUUCCUGGAACACAGGGUGAUCACAAUUAGGCAAGGAUCAAACAAGAACAAAGACUUCACAAAUGAGUAUAGAGUUGGCUGUAACAUUACCAUGUGGGAGACUGAACGAUCAGGCGCAGUGCAUGGCUGAACAAGUCUUGUAUGCAGCGGAGGUUGAUUGGGAGCAAAUCAAUAGUGCAAGUCUUGAAGGUGUAUUCUAAUAGUGUCCAUAAAUAUAAGUCAUACUGCAGGUUGUCUUUUUAGCAAACUAUUAACAAAUUGGAUAGAUGAUGUUAAUGCCUCUCUUAACAUUAGUACUGAUGCAGUGGCAUUAGCGUUAGUCUUAUAUUAACAAAAACACACAAAAACGCAAUUGCAACAUUAAAACUGAAGCUAAAAUGUUGAUGUAAAAAAACAAAAACACACCUUUUUAAAAUUGCUUUUAAUAUUUAGUUGUACAGUGUCUUUGAGUAUCUAGACCAGCGCUUUUAAAUAAAAUGUAUUAUUAUUAUUAUUAUUAUUAUUAUUAUUAUUAUUAUUAUUAUCUAUAACAUGAUACUUUAUCUCAAUAACUAAUAAUAAAACACUGGUGACUCAAUUCACAGAUCUAAAAGGGUGUUACCUGCUAUGACACAUGAUUCCCAGUCUCAAGUGGACUGGUAAUAGACUGAGAUUAUAAUAGAUCUGAAUUAAUUGUGGACUUCUUUGCAGUGAUCCACCUUUACCAAGAGAUGAUAGUGGUAUAUUGAGCCAACUUUGAGGCAGAGUGCGGCCCUACACCCACGUCUGUGGCACUGAUAACAACUGAUAAUGUCCAUUUAAUCGAGUGGUAACAUUUAAAGCAGGUGCAGAGAGAGGCAAGAAAAAAAAAAAGUCUCCAGCUCAGUGUGUGUGGAUAUGUGUGUGUGUUGCACGGAUGGGUGUAGGUGUUGUAGAUUCUUCUCUACCUUGUCUGCACUUCUGUUGCCCUGGGAGCAGUAGUCAUGGAGCUGCUCCUCAACCAGGAGAUAUUCAGACACACACACACACACACAGGCACUAUUGUACACACAGACUAAAUGCACACAGGCAGAUAAACCCAGUCACAGACAUGCUUACAGAUUUAGACAAUUGCAAAAACAUAUGGUUCAGGUUCACACUGUGCGGUAUUUUUCGAACUGUCUCUCUCAACUUGGUUUCGGUGGUUAAAUGAUGAUUCAUUGAGCCUUCGACGUAAAAUAAAACAGAAAUAAAAUAGAAAAUACCAUGAAUCAUUCUGUUUUCAGGCCUUAGGACAGAGGUGCAAACAUGCACGACAAAUUCUCCCAUGAAUAGAUGACAAAAUUAAAGGGCAGUACUGUAAGUAAGAUUUUAUGGCUCAUAGCACAAACUGAAUAUAUUUGUGAGGGGGUUGAUCAAUACUAUUGACUUAACAAUUACUUAGCAAGUGGUGGAAGCUCUGGCUUUCAACAUCCCUUAUCUAGUUAAUAUGUCUGUUUUGAAAACUAUUCCCUUGCUCACCACAUUUGAACUACAUAACAAUGCAGGACAGUGCCCAGAGCAAAUGACCACAGGUGCAAAACAUUUAAGAUGGCUUCUUCUCUGUUGGUUAUCUGCUUUAUUGAAAAGGUCAUUGCAUGACACUUCAGAAAAAAAUAAAAGCUAGAGCAGCUUGCAGACUCAAAACAUACCCACUCAAAGCCAUGAUCCGUUUGGACAUGGAUGUGUCUAAAGCAUGGACAAAGGAAUGUGCUGUCCUGACUACCCAGAACUUUAGGUCUGCCAGUCUUAGGACUCUUAUCAUCAUUAGUAUUCUCAUGCCAGCAGGGUUUUUUUAAGAAAAUCUUUAUGAAUCUCCCUCCUGCUGAGAUGUGACAGAGGUCGGUGUUCCCUUGUUACAUUUUUUAAUUAAUUUCUUAAAUUAUCUCAACCUCACCUAUCCGAUCAGUGAAGGGAGACAAUAAAUGAUAUGCAGUCCAGGUGAGCUGGAAACGAACUGAAACAGCAACUACAUUUCCAUAUCAGGCUAGUUGCAAGACCACUAAGCCGCAAUGACACCCCAAAGCUUGAAACAUCAAGUUGAGAUGGAUUCUGUCAGACAUUUCCAAUCAGAUCUGUUCAUUUUAUUGAUCUUGUAUUUUUCCUUGCAAAAUAAUCAAGGCCAUUAGACUAGUAUACAUCAACAAAGAAGACAGCCUUUCAUCAACACCAAAAUCUCUGGUAGGUGUUAGGACAGAUAAAUGAACACCUGAGGUCCCUUGUUUUGGGGGCCUUCAAUAUCAAACUGCCUUUUAGGCCACCUGGUAAUGAAUAGGUUUUGCAAAUUUAGUUUUACACUGCAACUGGUGUCCGUCCCACCAUUCAAUUGGCUGACUGAAAAGCACUUGUUUUAAAGCACCGUUGAGUGUUUAUCUUUACUGUGUCUCUGAUUGUGAAGCCCUAAUGACUAUGUACAGCUGCCACAAGAGCAAUGGAACACGCAUUUGCCAAUGCAUUAAAUAUCCAAAGGCUGUGAAAGCUCUUUCACAAACAAAAAUUAUAGACUGCACUUGAUUACGUGUAUUUGGAAUAUCAAAAGGACCUUGUCAAGAACAUGCAGAGAGCGGUGUGGCUCACAGGAAGUAGGCUGUGGGUAUCAUCCUGAAUAACUAUUUCAGUCCUAAUUAUCCUCCCCUUCCCUCUGCUCUCAAAUUGUGGAGAUAGGUCAGGUGAUGUGUGACUACACAGAGAGCAAUGAUGCUUCUUUGUACCUGAAAACUUAAAUAAAAUAUAUAUGCGCAAUCGGGCCAUGGAACACAAGAGUAUUUAAUUUUAAUUUAAUAUACCUACGCAGUCCAUACAGGUGGAGCUUUUCAUGCUAAAGCUCUUCCCCAGGCAGUAUUGACCAGAUAAAGCUAUACAUGUUAGUAAAGAGAGGGAGCUUAAAGGAUGUCAGCAGCAUACAUUACCGCAAUACCGUAUGAAUCUGACAGCUUAUAGACGAAUAGAAAACCUAUAUGUACUUGAAUAGAUGCCAGAAUUAUGCAAAUAAUGAAGGAACUGUGAAAAAAAAAAAACGUCACAGAAAUCAAAUUAACCAAUACCAGCUCAGUUUCCUCCUUCAUAAGAAAACAUGUUUGAAUUAAAAUACUAACAGGCCUUAAAAACCUUAAUCUAUGACCAAAUGCUUCAUCUAUACCAUGCAAUCCCCUGUAUAUGUUGUUUAAAGAUCAUGAGCAAUACAACAAAGCAGUGGCAUAAAUAUAAGAAUAUCCCGCCUUUUCAUUUGCAGCCAACUUCAUGAAUCAUAAACAGAACGUGUGAUUUGAAGGUUGAACAACAAAGCUUGCAAAUACAUGGUAUACAAGCCAUAGCCAACCAAUAGUCGUCUUUUCAAGUCUCAGAUCAUUCACGUUCACUGUUGUUCUCUGCCUUAGCUUGACAUUAGGUCAGUCUCAAGUGUUCAGCCUCUGUUUUGUAAGGAGAAAAGACAGCAGGGGGAGAGGGAGAAGUUAGAAACUACAGUACAGUAUUUGCUAUCAGGGCCACACCUGAAGGGAAAUGAUGACCUGGCUGUUUGUAGAGUGUGACUGUUUGCGUGUAUGUGAGAGAGAGAUAAAAAAGAUAGAGACAGAGCAACUGUGUCAGGCAUAUUUAUGCGUGCAGUAGUACAUCCUGCACGGUGCAUGUGUAGGUUAUUUCACUAACAGUGUUGUGGGGGGGGGGGGGGGGGGUGUCUUGGAUGAAUUUUCUGCACCCAGAGAGAGUGAAGCAGAAAGAGAGAGGUUUUGAUUGAGUGCCCGCUGAGGUCCCAUCAGAUGUGGCUUAAAGGAAUAAAGGAUUCAUUUGAAGGAGGGCGAGAAAGAUUACAUACAGUCCUCACAUCUAUCCAAAUCCCUCGCAAAUCCCUCUACAUCACACUUAUCAAGCCAUGUGCAGUGCAGUAUACUAACUCUCUUUGGUCUUAUCGUAAGGCUAGCAUGUAUCAUAGUUGUCUAGUGGAUGUGUAACUUAUUCUGCAAUACACUUUGGAUCAUGCAUACAUGUCUGAGUGGGUCAUGGGGCUACACCUCUUUCUGAAAAUGCCAGACUUUAAUCACAGCGGUACUUAAAAGAAAUGCCAGUAUUGGUCAUCGAGGUAAUCCAGCCCUUCGUUGUGAGGCACUGAUAGUGCAGUAAGUCAUGUUUAAAACAUAAACUCUGACAAACCACUGAUAACCUGAAGGUUUCUUUUUCUUUUUUUUUAAUUCAUACAGCGUUCACAAGCUUGUUAGACAGUACACAUAUGUUGGUAAGCACUGUAAAAACCCUUAGGCAUGCCCUUAAGCAUUAUUUUCUGUCUUUAGGGCACUUGAGUUGGGCCAACAGUGCCCAGUCUGAGUACUACACAUCAGUACUGAACAUCACAUUAACCACUGCAGAAUGCAGCAGAGCAUUGAGUGUAGCUAUCAUCGAGUACUCGCAUUACAAAAUGAUCAGAUGUUGACAUUUUAGAAUUGUCACGGUGUGAGAAUAGGUAAAAAUAUGCAGCAAUGACAUACAGUACUUAUCAGAAGGAGAAGGGUGUACACAGCUAAUGUGAUUUUGUGUUUAUUUUCAUGGUAAAAAUAAAAAAAUAAUAAUAAUGUAGCAGUUGGUGGUUUCAGAUCCAUGGAGUCAAGCUAUUUGGCUCUGUUUCUUGCCAUGCUCUUAUUGUAUCAGCUUACCCACACUCAUUAAUUCUAUUUAUUCCAAAUUACACAUUGAUAAUGUGACCCAGGAAAAAA